AGAGAAAGACGACUAAUUGGAAGGUUCAAGAGGAAAGAGAUAGUUUAUUCUUUUGCUGUUAAUUUAAUUAAUCUAUUAUAGUAGAGUCUCAUAGCUCAGCUGGUUAGAGCGCUACACUGAUAAUGUAGAGGUCGGCAGUUCGAGUCUGCCUGAGACUACUAGUAAAAAGGAAAUUCUAGAGGUUGAGAAUUCUAAAUUCAAAAUUGGGGAUUCUUGGUUUGGCUAAGGAUUGCCAGGAAAAGGGGAAUUAGCUCAGCUGGCUAGAGCGCCUGCCUUGCACGCAGGAGGUCACCGGUUCGACUCCGGUAUUCUCCACAAGGGCACAAGUUGUUACUGUCAUUUUAUUGUCAGUGGCGACUCGCCACAAACGUUCAUUGACAUAUUGAAAAAAGAUACAUAAAAAUACAAUAUAACUGAAUAAGUUAUAUGAAUCUCGAUUGAUCAAGGUUACGAGCUUUUGAUCAAUUGACAACUCAUUAAAAAGACAAAAAGUAC
rnacentral:tRNA from 1 species